GGGCUGGCAUUGAAAACUGACCUCCCUGCGCAUGUUCAAAUAAUCGGAGCUGGUCAGCGUCAGCGUUCGUGGUGCUGGCCAAUAGAAAGCUAGCUAGCUCUGAAGACGAACUGAACUGCAGUGGUUACUGAUCAGUGAAGCAGUUGGAAUAACGAUUGGCCAUUUGACUUAUAUGUUCUUCUCAUUCCUACAGCUGAUGGUGAACUGGAUGAACAAAUUAAACAGAUUCUCAGAAAUCGUUCUAGAGAAGAUCUAUCAGAAGUACCAACCACAGAACCCUCUGUGUCACCUUCAGCUGUGCCCGAAGUAAAUAUCGAAGCGGAGUCUGUAGACACGGAAGCGGCGAAGAAGGAGCAAGAAAUAGCUGAAGAUCUAUUGAAGGACAUCAACAGCAUGUUAAAUGACUUCUCCACUGAGUUAGACUCCAUGUUCGAAUGAAUGGAGAGUUGGAUUGGAUCAAACCACGGUAAAAGUAACUGUAACGAUCGCCUGGAUGAAAUAAGUUAACGAGCUGUAACCUCUACGCAAACAUGGCAAUGGACAUGCUUUAUGACUGGGCGAUGUUUACCACAAUGGUGUUAUUGGUCAAGACGCUAUCACGUGACUUAAAAGGAAAAGAGGAGAAUCAGAUGAGACAAGACCAGUCUCCCCUCUGCCCCGCUUAGCCUGCAUAUUUACGUCUAAAGGCGCCACACCUUUGAGGGCUUUUGGCAUGUUUGUGUUGGUUUUCUAAAAUUUCGAGCCAAUCAAAGAAUCGUUAUCUGCAAGUACAACUUCCGGACAACUUUUUGUUGGUUUUCCAAACUUUUCGGUCAGUAGCUUGCGGUUACUUUGCUUACCCUGCCUUCAUUGACUAACUUACCUUUUGAUUGGCUUAGCAAUGGAAAACCAACAUAAAGAUGUCACACAGGAAUCAAAAGGUCAUUGAUCGACUGCAGCAUCGCGUAUUCAAUGUAAUUCUCAUUUUCAAGCAGAUUGGAAUGAAAUUGGAGCAGGCUUAAUUCACGAUUACAAGGUAAAGUUUUGAACAUUUUUUAACACAAUUCAAAUAGUGGAGAGAAAUAUCAAAUAAUUUUAGGUAUGAUAUACUGUCCCGUGCAGAGUUUGUACGCUAGUUAUGUGUAAAUUUUUUUUAUCUUUCAUAGAACUUUUUAUAAUAUCUCAGUGGUUCCGAGAUAUCUUAACUGGGGGCAAUUAUAUUUAUUUUGUAUUACUUUUAAUCUUUGAAACGUUUUUAUGGGGCAUUUAUUUUAAGCCUGCCAUUCUUUCACAUCAGCAAGUGUCUUUUUUUGCUAAAUUCUUAGAAUCAUCCACAUAUUAUCCAGUCAGAAAAAUAGGACAAGGGCGAUAAUUCAUGGUCCUUAGCAACGAAUGGCUUUGCUUGGCAACGUUUUGACGAAAAACCGCGGGAUCUUUAAAGAAGCUUGCUGCCUCGAAGAAUCAUAGAAUAUUUAUUUUCUUAAAACAAGUAACGUUUCAGUUCUUUGCUGAAACCUUAAGUUUUGCGGUCAAAAUUCGAUUUAAAUUUUGAUUUUCCUUGCAGAAUUGCGACUUUUUAGGUAAAUUCCAUUUACUAUCUUAGGAACACUGAUGGUUUUGUCCGUUUUAGGGCUUAGCUGCUUGUAUGUCGGCAUUAAGAGUCGAUUGUUUAUUAGGGUUCAGUGUUGCAGGAAAAUUAUAUUCACCGAUCUGACGAUAGAAUAGCGUAUGAAUUAGAUUGCUUUUUACGAUUUGAAUUUCCAGUUCUGGAGAAAAAUUAGAAAUUGAUGUAAUCAUUUUGGAAUACAUAGAGGAGCCUUGUUAUAUGUCAUAAAUAGUAUAUAUCAAUUGCUGAAGACAGCCAUGAAAUUCAGUGUAAAAUGACUUACUAUUACUCUUGUAUAUAGCUAUAUUUUCUUUAUUCUAACGAACAAAUAAACAUAUAUUUAAAUAGA